GCGCCGGUGGUGUAAUGGUUAGCAUCGUUGCCUUCCAAGCAGUUGACCCGGGUUCGAUUCCCGGCCGACGCA
rnacentral:tRNA from 1 species